UAGCGUAAAUAGUGUUUAUGUUACGGCCAUAAAACAGAUAUCUAGUAUCAUACGCUUA
rnacentral:tRNA from 1 species